rfam:Pichia membranifaciens DNA, contig: CON090, strain: KS47-1.
UACUGUGAUGACCAACUGUCGCCCCAAACGGAUAUUACAUGACAGAUUCGACAAGCCAAACACUGAAAAUUCUGAUA